UACAGAGGUCCCAAGCGUUGUUCGGAUUCACUGGGCGUAAAGGGUGCGUAGGUGGUCGGGUAAGUCUGAUGUGAAAUCUCCAAGCUCAACUUGGAAACUGCAUCGGAUACUAUUCGGCUGGAGGGUUGGAGGGGGACUGGAAUGCUUGGUGUAGCAGUGAAAUGCGUAGAUAUCAAGCGGAACACCAGUGGCGAAGGCGGCUCACUGGCCCGACUACUGACGCUGAGGCACGAAAGCGUGGGGAGCAAACAGG
rnacentral:rRNA from 1 species